ACAACAAAACAAAAAAAGAUCCACCGGCCUAUGCAUAAGCAUCCCACGUACGUACGUCCACUAUUUAUUUUAGCUCAAAUCAAAGUUUUGUCACACACAAUGCAAGAAAACAACAAUAAUUCCUUUUUUGGGUAAUAUUACCAGUGACGUAACAUGCAGGCCACGUGGCGGCAGUGUCAAUCAAAAGUGACGUUGUUGCUGCUAUGUUUAUGGGCGGGGUCGUGGUUAUUACUAGCGACGACGUACGCAAGAAGAAAGAUAUUUGUAGAAACCAGUGGAAAGCGGACACGUGUUGAGG
rnacentral:lncRNA from 1 species